CAUUUGGUCUGCAGAUCCGUUUGUUUACAACUAUGAAAGGCUACGAAUUGGAGGCCUGAUCUGUGCCUGCUUGUUGGUGGCCGGAGGACUCGGCGUUAUACUUUACAACAAGUGUUCUAGGACGGACAAAAAAGGCGAAGAUGACAACAGUGAAAUCUGAUACCGUGCCCGACAAACCAGUUUGGUCCAGGAGGAAGAGCUGACAGGCAAGGGGU